rnacentral:pre_miRNA from 1 species
AGUGGAAUUGCUGGGCCAUAUGGUAGUUCAGUUUUUAGUUUUUUGAGGAACUGUCACACCGUUUUUCACAGUGGCUGUACCAUUUGCAUUCCCACCGGGAAU